rfam:Oceanobacillus picturae, S1, WGS project CCAX01000000 data, contig: 000002
CGGUGAGGUAGAGGCGCGAACAUUAUCAGUAAUCAAUUGGAGUAUGACAUCAGAGAUGAUUGAUGAAAGGGAUGCUCGCCGAAGUGUAAUAAGGGUCAAGCUUAUUAUUGCUGGGAUGUCUUUUAACAAGAGGCAUACUGUCAUGCACGUCUGCAUGGAGGACUACUGAUCGA